UACGUAGGGGGCAAGCGUUGUCCGGAAUCAUUGGGCGUAAAGAGCGUGUAGGCGGCCCGAUAAGUCCGCUGUGGAAAGUCCAGGGCUCAACCCUGGGAUGCCGGUGGAUACUGUCGGGCUCGAGUCCGGAAGAGGAGUGUGGAAUUCCUGGUGUGGCGGUGAAAUGCGCAGAUAUCAGGAGGAACACCAAUGGCGAAGGCAGCACUCUGGGACGUGACUGGACGCUGAGACGCGAAAGCGUGGGGAGCAAACAGG
rnacentral:rRNA from 1 species